UUUCCAAUUCUCGUUGUUUAUUGAAUUCCUAACUUACAAAUGGUUUUAUUUUUACUCCAAGAAAAUUUCGUAACCUUUAGAUAUGUUUGCAGAAUGCAGGUGCAUCUUUCGAUGAGAUUCGAGUGCAUGUCAAGGGGGAAAUGUCUCAUCAUCCCUUGACUAUUUUCUUUUCCUUCCCAUAUUUUCACUCUCAUUUCUCUUGAUUCUAAGCUUUUGAAUCAAUUCAGCCAACAUUGUUUUAGCCUUAGGGGAUUCCAUAGCUUUCUCCGCAAUACCAGGUUGUAUCGGGUCUAAGAACUCUUUCACACGGUGAAUGAGCAUUUCUGAUAAUAUUUUUUCUUCCUGUUUGGGGGAUAUUUCUACUCCACUUUGUGAUAAUCCCUUGGCCACACCGAUUAGGAAUGCAUCUUCAAGCUCGUCACCAAUCUUUUUUUCUUGCUCUAGAGUAAGUUUUACGUCGGCAGCAUCUCCUACAGAGAUUGAGAGCACCAAGGCCAACGAGAAUACUACUAAAGCAAUGUUCAUUUUUUUUCAAAAAGUUAAGGUAAAAUGAAUUUGAAUUUUUUCGCUUCUAAUUCUCAAGGGAUAGAAAUGGGAUGAAAUUUAAAUAGAUGAUGAUAAGUUAUUUGCGGCAACUUUAACGGAUCUUUGACUACUUUGGUGCAAAAUUUCCCUAAACUUUUGCAACAUUAUUCAAAUGAUGUAUAAAUUAGAAUUCUGUUCUUGUCAAAUCCCCUAUUCUUGUUACGUUUGCAAAAUUAUUUCAAAUAUUUUGUUAUUGGCUUGACGGUUAAGAGAUAAUUAAGAGAUUAAAAAUUUUUUCUUGAGACUCAAGUUCAAUUCCUUACCCUUGCAUAAUGUUUAAUUUUUUUUCUAUUUUUUCUCUCAUCCUUUUCUUGUAUCGCCCCUACUUAGAAACCCUAGGUAUAAAUGCUAUUUUCUCUCUUUUCAUUUAGCUUUUCUCAUUUGUUUUCUCCCUUGUUGUCCCACACUCUCUUUUUAUCUCUACUUUCUCAAACGUUUUUCUUUUCUGUAACCGUGUGCCACCCUAUAACCUAGUUUUAUCACCAUUGUUGCAUCGCCCCUCUCCUCCUCUAUUGGUGGUGUUUUUUUGCUUUAUUACCCACCUUUCUUUCACUCUUUUGUUCAUUAUUUUUUUGCUCUUUUUUGCUUCCCAUUGCAUCCAUUUUUCUCCUCCCAUUGUCGCACAUUACAGCCCUUUGUUGCUUCCAUUUUUCUUGAAUUGUUGCCUCUCUAAGCCCUCGUCCUCUCAUUUUUUUCAUCAUUUUUGGUUGCUGAUUUGUACCCCCUUUGAUCGAAUCCGUCUAGGCUAUUGUUAGUGUUCUUUUUGAUUCUAUGAUCACUAUUCAUCACAGAUCUAAAACGGGUGAAUUGUAAGUGUUGAUUUUUAACGAGAUCUACAUCGUCUUCUUCGUUUGUUUUUAUUUUGUUCUGGUAGAAUGUGCUUGUGCCUCGGUCGAAUUUUACAUACUAAUUUUUGUGUUUUUUAAAUCUGAAAGGACCGAAUCUAAAUGUCUCGGAUCAGUGACCGUCUCCAGACGUACUAACGUUCAGAUUAUGAAUACUAAAGUAAAGUAUAUAAAUAUAUGAGGUGGUAUCCGCAAGUAUACGGGUCUAGUUGUAAUAUAGUUACAACGGACUAGGUGAGUACUCCGAGGAUCGUACCCAAGGGAUUCAAGUGCUAGAUCACUUUUAACUUAAACACUGAAUGGUCUAAUUAGUACUUUAAUUUAGCUAUAGUAUAAUAGUAAAAUAAAAGAGAGUUUUUAAAAUUUUUAUAACAGUAAAGUAAAAUAACAUAGGAAAAUUAAAUUCAAGAUAUCAAAGAGUAGAAUAAAUCAAAUCUUGAUUAUGGGUGAUUAGCUCAUUUAUGUAAUCCCCAUUAACUAUCGUUUCGGGCUCCUCGUCAAUCAACUAGUUGCCAUCCCAACAGGAUCUUCCGAUCUUCCACUCAAAUAACAAAUCAACAAGAACUACUUAUCUUCUAACCUCACAACCCAACAAGAUAGGCCAUACUAAUAUUGGGUUAAUUCUCACCUUGAUUACUUCCUAGGGUUGUCAGGCCUAGGGAUUUAAGUUAUUCCUUUCCCAAACAGCUAAUCCAUUAAGUAGCCAUACAAAACAGUUAAUGGAUCAUACCUCCACUCAUUAAUCCCCCACAAACGGAUUAGCUCAUCGUGGUUUUCAUAAACAAUAUAGAACUGAUGCAAAUAGAAAACAUGAUAAAUGAACUAGAAUGUAUAGUUUAAGAAAAUGUCUGAUUUGCAUUCAGAAUAAAUUGAAUCCACAGAGUUUGAUCGUCUCCACAAAUUAGAUCUCUUGAGAUAAACAAGAACAACUUAAAAAUAAAUCUAAAACCUAAAAAUAAAGAAAACUAAACUAAAAUUUAAAAGAGAACUUCUAAGAUAAGGCAUUAGUGUCUUUUACAUGUGAUAAAGGAGCCUAUUUAUAGAUCUUAGGUGGUCGUCAUCCUUAACUCUAGGUUUCACGGAUGUUCUUGAGCUUUAAGUUUUAUUGUGCGGACCAAAAUGCCACCUGACUCAUCUUAAUUGUUGUCCAAAGUUGAAAUCGUGACACACUAGGACCUGUGUUGCAACAUAGGAGUCAGUAUACUGCUCUUGGGAUAUCUUCAGGGGUAUGUAGCGACAUUAAACAUAAUUUUGUAAUUUCUCCAUUCUGCUCUCUAUGUUGCGACAUUAAGCAUUUUAUGUUGAGACAUAGCGACCAAUAUUUUUUUAAUAUGCCUGUUAAUGGUCUCCUACACACUUAUAAAGUUCAUUAGCUCACUCUUAGGCCUCAUUUGGCCCUAAGGUCAAUAAAAUACUCAAUUUGCAAAUUUUAUUAGAUUUAAAAAAAAAUUCUAAAACAUAAUUAAAUCCUAAUGAAAAUACUUAAUUUCAAGCUCCUAAAGUGUGAAAACUAGUUUAAUCUACUACACCUAAUUACGACAGAUCAAUCAGCAGUCACAUUGGAGCUCGUUCAUAUCUUUGUUAUAUUUUGAAAUAGAGUAAGUAGAGGUCCCAAAAUUGGGACAAAUAUGCCACUAUUAAUACUUAUUUUGGACAAACCCUAUAGGGGUGUCUAGAUGCUAUUUUUAAUCAAUUUUCAUUUAUGUUGUGUAUAGAUUCGAUUUAUAUCUAUCUACAUCUAAGGCGUGGUAGUUUCAGAUUUUUUUAGUAGUGCUGCAGAUUUGUGAAUACAAAGUGUGGGUAUUAACUUUUGUAUGUUCUGGUGUUUACUGUAAGUUGUAUGAUUGUUUAAAUGAUUUUCCAAAUGUUGUGUGUAAUUUCAAUGCAUGGUCAAAUGACAUUAUGCCAUCCAUGAAGUGGUCGGUUAUGGUAAGUAGUCGUAAGUUGGUCGAAAGCACUAAGUGACCCUCUAGUAAAUGGUUGAAUGUUAUGGGGCCUUAAGACAAGGUAACCGAUUGUGUAAGUAUCUUACAUAUGGGCUGAUUGUGUGUUGUUCUAUUGGAUGGCUAAAUGCAUGCCAUUUCGUGACUUGUACCGUUAAGUAUGCUAUUCAUUAUUGUUAUCAAGUACAUGUAAACAUGUUUACUGUGUUCUAUAUUGAAUGCAUGUAUAGCAUGCUACUGGUUUUAUUGUAUAUUAUUGCAUGUACGCAUGCCAUGAAAUGUUACUAUUCUCACUGAAUACAUGUAAAGCAUGCCACCAAUGCUAUUUUGUUGAAUGUAUGCAAAGCAUACCACUGAUAUUGUUUUACUAAAUGCAUGUUAAGCAUACCACCAUAUUAAAAUCGAUACUGUCGAAGCAUGAAAUGCUUCAUUGUUUACAUUUCAUACUACGUUGAAUAGGUUUCAAAUUGAUGGGUGAUGUGUUGGAAAAAUUUUGGUUUGAAAAUGGUUUUCUUACACAGCAAAAGUUAAAAAUUUUCAAACUGACCCGAUUUUUUAUAUUUAUAGCAAUAAACCUUAGACCAAAAUCAUCCAUGUGUUUUUGGAUAAGCGGAUACUUGAUGUUUUCUGGCUUUCAACCAAAUGUUCUUCUCCACUACUCUCGUACCAUGAAUUGCUUUGAAUGUGGGCUUUAAUCAAUUGAAUCGAAACACAGAACCAGAAAAAGUUUAUUCUCUUUUAUUUGGGAUGAGAAUGCAAAUUCUCUCUUUUUUAAUAGAAACUAGUUGAAUUGUUAUUUUGGAAAAAUAUAUCUAAUAAUUGAAAACAAAUUCUCUCUAUUUUUCAACGGAGUAACAGUUUCUCAAAGUUGCGUAAAUAGCUCUACCAAUUCCAUCUAUUUAUAGGGAAAGAAGUGACCGCCUCUGGGCGCACUAACGUCCAGAGUGUGAAUACUACAAUAAAAUAUAGAAUGACAAGGCGGUAUCCGCAAGUAUACUAUUUGAGUUGCAAUAUAGUUUGUUUACAACGAAACACAUCGUAAGUAUUUCGAGGAUCGUACCCAAUGGAUUAUAAUUUGGGGAAAACUAUUAUCAAGCCAAUUAUAGGAAAUAAUUACUAAUCUACUCGAGUUACAGAUUAGUAGUGUUAAUCAAGAAGCAAUAUGAUAAUAAGAAGAAAUUAAAUAAAUUUAACUAAACCUAAAUCCACUCCUAGGUUCUUGUAUGACUUUUUCUAUUCCUUGUUUUGACUAUGCAAGUUCCUUUAAACCUAGAUCUAAUUGUUUUACCGAAUUAAUUAUUGAAGUAGUGUUCUAAUCAAUCAAGUAGUCGAUACCCCAGUAGGAUCUUUUGAUCUUCCACUAGAAUAACGAGUUAGCAAGAACUACUUCUCUUCCGACCUAACAGUCCAGACCGGGUCGGGGUUAAGGUGCUCACAUACAGACCAUACCAAUUUUGGGUUAAUUCCCACCUAAAUGACUUCCUAAGGUUGUCAAGCCUCAGGUUUGUUUCAUGUUCUUCCAUUCCCAAACAAUUGAUCCGCUAAGAAACUCUAUUAUUCAAGCAAUUAAUUAAGUUAAAGCAAUAGAAACAUGCAAAAUAUGUAGAAAGCAUAUAUCGAUUUUAAUCUUUACACAAACAUUCAUCUAACAAUGUUAAAAAAAAGAAAUAAAAAGAAGACAAUAAGGAAAAGAGAUGCUAAUGGAUUUAUUGAUGAAAGCAUGGUUUUAGAACAAUCUCCCAUCGCGGAAGUCUCAAUUCAGAAUAAGAUCUUUUGAUUAUAAGAACAUAAAAUAACCUAAGUAAAAACUAAGAAUGAAAGAAAAAACUAAGAAUUAAAAACCCUAAAAUUGUAUGUUUAAACUAAUUAUAAUAGCCUUUAUAUAGGCUAACCUUAGAAUAUUAAAGUGCGUCAAUUAUCCUUGAACUCCUUAGAGUUUGACCGGGACAAAUACAUCUAAUUUCCCUCCCAAACAUAAUUAAAAUGUGUAAGAGUUUUUGGGCUACGCAAGGGGUUGGUUGCAACACAGGCCUGCAGUGUUGCAACAUUAGAGUCCGAUGUCUAAAUUUAAAGCAUGAAAGAUUACAAUAUCUAAAUUUGUGAAUAUUUAAAGAUAAAGGAAAGAAAUACACACUUGUAGAAAGACUUGUCAAAUUUCGAGCAAACUUAUUUUGAAUUGAGGUCUGAUAGGAAUUGUUUUAGUUUCAGCUUGUUCUAUUCAAAACCAAAGUAAAACGUAUAAUGUUUAUAAAAAAUUAUAUUACGCUUUUUCCAAAUGCAAUGAUGCUAAGUUUUGCCUUAAAUGUGGGAAGUAUUUGAUCCAUUAUGUGUUGAAGGAUGGAUUCAAUUAGCAUUUGGGCAUAAUAUUAGGGAACUAGAUCUUGAUUUGAGUGUUCCCACGGAGCUUUACAUAGAGAUGCCUUAUAGGUUGUUUUAAAUAAUUUGAGAUAGAGAGGUGAGGUGAGGUUAAAUGAGAACAUUGAUAAUUGAAACUAAAAUUGUUUGUUAAUAUGCAAAGUGAAGUUUCUCAUAAAAUAAAAGAAAUUUGUAUUGCUUUAGAAGUAUCGAACUUCCAAAAACAAAUGGGGCCGAAAAUCUAUGAUCGAUCCUAUAGUAACAUUAAACAAAACUAUAAGAGUUUUCUUUUGUCAUUAUAGUCAAUGUAUCUUUGAUAUUUAAUAGAGGAAUCGAUUUUUUCUGAUGGACUGAAUGCCUUAGUGAAAGUCCUAAAGUGUCCCUUAAUUAAAUGGAUAGCUACAUAUACAUAGAGUAAUAUUUAUGAAAGAACCAUCACAUUCAAUUUUGAAUACAAUAUCAAUUAAAUUUCCAAUUCUCGUUGUUUAUUGAUUUUCUAACUUACAAAUGGUUUUAUUUUUACUCUAAGAAAAUUUCGUAACCUUUAGAUAUAUUUGCAGAAUGCAGGUGCAUCUUUCGAUGAGAUUCGAGUGCAUGUCAAGGGGGAAAUGUCUCAUCAUCCCUUGACUAUUUUCUUUUCCUUCCCAUAUUUUCACUCUCAUUUCUCUUGAUUCUAAGCUUUUGAAUCAAUUCAGCCAACAUUGUUUUAGCCUUA
rnacentral:lncRNA from 1 species